rnacentral:rRNA from 1 species
UAAGCGGAGGAAAAGAAACUAACAAGGAUUCCCCUAGUAGCGGCGAGCGAAGCGGGAAAAGCUCAAAUUUGUAAUCUGGCGUCUUCGACGUCCGAGUUGUAAUCUCGAGAAGUGUUUUCCGUGAUAGACCGCAUACAAGUCUCUUGGAACAGAGCGUCAUAGUGGUGAGAACCCAGUACACGAUGCGGAUGCCUAUUACUUUGUGAUACACUUUCGAAGAGUCGAGUUGUUUGGGAAUGCAGCUCAAAUUGGGUGGUAAAUUCCAUCUAAAGCUAAAUAUUGGCGAGAGACCGAUAGCGAACAAGUACCGUGAGGGAAAGAUGAAAAGCACUUUGGAAAGAGAGUUAACAGUACGUGAAAUUGUUGGAAGGGAAACACAUGCAGUGAUACUUGCUAUUCGGGGCAACUCGAUUGGCAGGCCCGCAUCAGUUUUUCGGGGCGGAAAAUCGUAGAGAGAAGGUAGCAGUUUCGGCUGUGUUAUAGCUCUUUACUGGAUUCGCCCUGGGGGACUGAGGAACGCAGCGUGCUUUUAGCAUGAGCUUCGGCUUAUCCACGCUUAGGAUGCGGGUUUAUGGCUGUAUAUGACCCGUCUUGAAACACGGACCAAGGAGUCUAACAUGCUUGCGAGUAUUUGGGUGUCAAACCCGGAUGCGCAAUGAAAGUGAAUGGAGGUGGGAAGCGCAAGCUGCACCAUCGACCGAUCUGGAUUUUUUAAGAUGGAUUUGAGUAAGAGCAAGUAUGUUGGGACCCGAAAGAUGGUGAACUAUGCCUGAAUAGGGCGAAGCCAGAGGAAACUCUGGUGGAGGCUCGUAGCGGUUCUGACGUGCAAAUCGAUCGUCAAAUUUGGGUAUAGGGGCGAAAGACUAAUCGAACCAUC